rnacentral:rRNA from 1 species
UACGUAGGGUGCGAGCGUUAAUCGGAAUUACUGGGCGUAAAGCGUGCGCAGGCGGUUCGUUGUGUCGGUGGUGAAAGCCCCGGGCUUAACCUGGGAAUGGCCAUGGAACUGGCGAACUGGAGUGUGGCAGAGGGGGUGGAAUUCCGCGUGUAGCAGUGAAAUGCGUAGAGAUGCGGAGGAACACCGAUGGCGAAGGCAGGUCUCUGGGCCACUACUGACGCUGAGAAGCGAAAGCAUGGGGAGCGAACAGG